UCUGGCUCAGGACGAACGCUGGCGGCGUGCUUAACACAUGCAAGUCGAACGAUGAUGCCCAGCUUGCUGGGUGGAUUAGUGGCGAACGGGUGAGUAACACGUGAGUAACCUGCCCCUGACUCUGGGAUAAGCGUUGGAAACGACGUCUAAUACUGGAUAUGAUCACUGGCCGCAUGGUCUGGUGGUGGAAAGAUUUUUUGGUUGGGGAUGGACUCGCGGCCUAUCAGCUUGUUGGUGAGGUAAUGGCUCACCAAGGCGACGACGGGUAGCCGGCCUGAGAGGGUGACCGGCCACACUGGGACUGAGACACGGCCCAGACUCCUACGGGAGGCAGCAGUGGGGAAUAUUGCACAAUGGGCGAAAGCCUGAUGCAGCAACGCCGCGUGAGGGAUGACGGCCUUCGGGUUGUAAACCUCUUUUAGUAGGGAAGAAGCGAAAGUGACGGUACCUGCAGAAAAAGCACCGGCUAACUACGUGCCAGCAGCCGCGGUAAUACGUAGGGUGCAAGCGUUGUCCGGAAUUAUUGGGCGUAAAGAGCUCGUAGGCGGUUUGUCGCGUCUGCUGUGAAAUCCCGAGGCUCAACCUCGGGCUUGCAGUGGGUACGGGCAGACUAGAGUGCGGUAGGGGAGAUUGGAAUUCCUGGUGUAGCGGUGGAAUGCGCAGAUAUCAGGAGGAACACCGAUGGCGAAGGCAGAUCUCUGGGCCGUAACUGACGCUGAGGAGCGAAAGCAUGGGGAGCGAACAGGAUUAGAUACCCUGGUAGUCCAUGCCGUAAACGUUGGGCGCUAGAUGUAGGGACCUUUCCACGGUUUCUGUGUCGUAGCUAACGCAUAAGCGCC
rnacentral:rRNA from 1 species